UACGGGGGGAGCAAGCGUUGUUCGGAUUUACUGGGCGUAAAGGGCGCGUAGGCGGCGCAACAAGUCACUUGUGAAAUCUCCGGGCUUAACCCGGAGCGGCCAAGUGAUACUGUCGUGCUAGAGUGCGGAAGGGGCUACUGGAAUUCUCGGUGUAGCGGUGAAAUGCGUAGAUAUCGAGAGGAACACCUGCGGCGAAGGCGGGUCUCUGGGCCGAUACUGACGCUGAGACGCGAAAGCGUGGGGAGCGAACAGG
rnacentral:rRNA from 1 species